rnacentral:rRNA from 1 species
AGCCAUGCGAGUCAUUGUAGCAAUACAAGGCAGACGGCUCAGUAACGCGUAGUCAAUCUACCCUGUUGACGGGGAUAACCUCGGGAAACUGAGAAUAAUACCCGAUAGAACAUUAUGCCUGGAAUGGUUUAUGUUUCAAAUGAUUUAUCGCAAUAGGAUGGGACUGCGGCCUAUCAGUUUGUUGGUGAGGUAAUGGCCCACCAAGACUAUUACAGGUACGGGCCCUGAGAGGAGUGGCCCGGAGAUGGGUACUGAGACACGGACCCAGGCCCUAUGGGGCGCAGCAGGCGAGAAAACUUUGCAAUGUGCGAAAGCACGACAAGGUUAAUCCGAGUGGUUUCUGCUAAAGAAACCUUUUGUCAGUCCUAGAAACACUGAUGAAUAAGGGGUGGGCAAGUUCUGGUGUCAGCCGCCGCGGUAAAACCAGCACCUCAAGUGGUCAGGAUGAUUAUUGGGCCUAAAGCAUCCGUAGCUUGUUUUGUAAGUUUUCGGUUAAAUCCAUACGCUUAACGUAUGGGCUGCCGGGAAUACUGCAUAACUAGGAAGUGGGAGAGGUAGACGGUACUCGGUAGGAAGGGGUAAAAUCCUUUGAUCUAUUGAUGACCACCUGUGGCGAAGGCGGUCUACCAGAACACGUUCGACGGUGAGGGAUGAAAGCUGGGGGAGCAAACCGGAUUAGAUACCCGGGUAGUCCCAGCUGUAAACUAUGCAAACUCAGUGAUGCAUUGGCUUGUGGCCAAUGCAGUGCUGCAGGGAAGCCGUUAAGUUUGCCGCCUGGGAAGUACGUACGCAAGUAUGAAACUUAAAGGAAUUGGCGGGGGAGCACCACAAGGGGUGAAGCCUGCGGUUCAAUUGGAGUC